CGAGCGUUAUCCGGAAUUAUUGGGCGUAAAGGGUGCGUAGGCGGUUUAGUAAGUCUCUAGUUUAAAUUCAACGCUUAACGUUGUCCCGCUAGAGAAACUACUAGACUAGAGUAAGAUAGAGGCAAGCGGAAUUCCAUGUGUAGCGGUAAAAUGUGUAAAUAUAUGGAGGAACACCAGAGGCGUAGGCGGCUUGCUGGGUCUUUACUGACGCUGAGGCACGAAAGCGUGGGGAGCAAACAGGAUUAGAUACWCCUGGUAGUCACGCCGYAAAACGAUGAGUACUAAGUGUCGGGGGUUUCCUCGGUACUGAAGUUAACACAUUAAGUACUCCGCCUGAGUAGUACGUACGCAAGUAUGAAACUUAAAGGAAUUGACGGGAUCCCGCACAAGCGGUGGAUCAUGUUGUUUAAUUCGAAGAUACACGAAAAACCUUACCAGGUCUUGACAUUAUCCUGCGAAGCUAUAGAAAUAUAGGGGAGGUUAUCAGGAUAACAGGUGGUGCAUGGUUGUCGUCAGCUCGUGUCGUGAGAUGUUAGGUUAAGUCCUAAAACGAGCGCAACCCUUGUCGUUAGUUACCAGCACGUUAUGGUGGGGACUUUAGCGAGACUGCCAAUGAAAAAAUUGGAGGAAGGUGAGGAUUACGUCAAAUCAUCAUGCCCCUUAUGAUCUGGGCUACAAACGUGAUACAAUGGCUAUUACAAAGAGCAGCUGAAACGUGAGUUGUUAGCUAAUCUCAAAAAAAUAGUCUCAGUUCGGAUUGAAGUCUGCAACUCGACUUCAUGAAGUUGGAAUCGCUAGUAAUCGCGAAUCAGCAUGUCGCGGUGAAUACGUUCUCGGGGUUUGUACACACCGCCCGUCAAACCAUGAAAGUUGACAAUACCCAAAACCAGUCGCUUAACUACUUCGGUAGAGGGAGCUGUCUAAGGUAGGGUCGAUGAUUGGGGUUAAGUCGUAACAAGGUAUCCCUACCGGAAGGUGGGGAUGGAUCACCUCCUUUCUAAGGAAAUGUCGUAUCAUGAUCAUCUUCAGUUUUGAAAGACUUAGAGUAGAUAAGUUUUUCUUUUGGCGUAGAGGAAGGGCCUAUAGCUCAGUUGGUAGAGCACACGCUUGAUAAGCGUGC
rnacentral:rRNA from 1 species